AGAGUUUGAUUCUGGCUCAGAACGAACGCUGGCGGCGUGGUUUAGGCAUGCAAGUCGAACGGGAUCUCUUAAUUAUGAAGCUUCGGCCGAUUAAUUUUGAGUGAUAGUGGCGAACGGGUGAGUAAUGUAUGAGCAAUCUGCCUCUAAAUCUGGAAUAACUCCGCGAAAGCGAAGCUAAUACCUGAUGUGAUUAUUCCUUGGCAUCUUGGAAUAAUUAAAGGUGGGGACCUUCGGGCCUGCCGUUUAGGGAGGAGCUCAUAUUCUAUUAGCUUGUUGGUGAGGUAAAAGCUCACCAAGGCUUUGAUGGAUAGCCGGCCUGAGAGGGUGACCGGCCACACUGGGACUGAGACACUGCCCAGACUCCUACGGGAGGCUGCAGUCGAGAAUCUUUCGCAAUGGGGGAAACCCUGACGAAGCGACGCCGCGUGAGCGAUGAAGGCCUUCGGGUUGUAAAGCUCUGUCGCCUGGGAAAAAUGGCCAAUUGGUUAAUAGCCUUUUGGUUUGAUGUUACCAGGAAAGGAAGCCCCGGCUAACUCUGUGCCAGCAGCCGCGGUAAUACAGAGGGGGCAAGCGUUGUUCGGAUUUACUGGGCGUAAAGGGUGCGCAGGCGGCCUUAAAAGUCAGAUGUGAAAUCUCCCGGCUCACCCGGGAAACUGCAUCUGAAACUCUAAGGCUUGAGUAUGUGAGAAGAAAGUGGAAUUCUCGGUGUAGCGGUGGAAUGUGUAGAUAUCGAGAAGAACACCAGUGGCGAAGGCGGCUUUCUAUUGCACUACUGACGCUCAUGCACGAAAGCUAGGGGAGCAAACGGGAUUAGAUACCCCGGUAGUCCUAGCCGUAAACGAUGUAUACUUGGUGUUAGGAGCAUCGACCCUUCUAGCGCCGAAGCUAACGCGAUAAGUAUACCGCCUGGGGAGUACGGCCGCAAGGCUAAAACUCAAAGAAAUUGACGGGGGCCCGCACAAGCGGUGGAGCAUGUGGUUUAUACGACGCAACGCGUAGAACCUUACCAGGGCUUGACAUGUAUGGACAGUCUAUGAAAGUAGAUCUUCCUUCGGGACUGAUACACAGGUGUUGCAUGGCUGUCGUCAGCUCGUGUCGUGAGAUGUUGGGUUAAGUCCCGCAACGAGCGCAACCCAUGUCCUUAGUUACCAGCACGUAAUGGUGGGAACUCUAGGGAGACUGCCUCGGUCAACGGGGAGGAAGGUGUGGAUGACGUCAAGUCAGUACGGCCCUUACGCCCUGGGCUACACACGUGCUACAAUGGCCGGUACAAAGAGUUGCGAUACCGCGAGGUGGAGCUAAUCUCAAAAAGCCGGUCUCAGUUCGGAUUGGAGUCUGCAAUUCGACUCCAUGAAGCUGGAAUCGCUAGUAAUGGCGCAUCAGCUACGGCGCCGUGAAUACGUUCCCGGGCCUUGUACACACCGCCCGUCACAUCACCCGAGCUGGGUGCACCCGAAGUCGCUAUACCGACCCGUAAGGGAGGAA
rnacentral:rRNA from 1 species